CCUGCCUGUAUGGUGGGGAUAACAACCGGAAACAGUUGCUAAUACCGCAUAAUGUAUAAGAGUCGCAUGUCUUUUAUACCAAAGGAGCAAAUCCGCUGAAAGAUGGGCUCACGUCUGAUUAGUUAGUUGGUGAGGUAACGGCUCACCAAGACUGCGAUCAGUAGCCGGACUGAGAGGUUGAACGGCCACAUUGGGACUGAGAUACGGCCCAGACUCCUACGGGAGGCAGCAGUGGGGAAUAUUGGGCAAUGGGCGAAAGCCUGACCCAGCAACGCCGCGUGAAGGAAGAAGGUUUUCGGAUUGUAAACUUCUUUUAUGAGGGACGAAGAACGUGACGGUACCUCAUGAAUAAGCCACGGCUAACUACGUG
rnacentral:rRNA from 1 species